CUCUGCCUUGAACACCACAACUUCUUGAUACAGCAUUUCAACUAUUGUGUACAUUGACUACAAACUGGUAUUUAUCAUCUUUGUGUCUGAAUAUUCUUCUAACUUUACAUUAUAGACUCUUUUAAUGCUCUGUACUUAACACAC